GCUGGGUGUGGUGGUGCACACCUGUAAUCCCAGCUACUCAGGAGGCUGAGGCAGGAGAAUUGCUUGAACCUAGGAGGCAGAGGUUGCAGUGAGCCGAGAUUGCACCACUGCACUCCAGCCUGGGUGACAGAGUGAGACUCUGUCUCAA
rnacentral:sRNA from 1 species